rnacentral:rRNA from 1 species
AGAGUUUCAUUCUGGCUCAGGACGAACGCUGGCGGCGUGCCUAAUACAUGCAAGUCGAGCGAGCUUGCCUAGAUGAUUUUAGUGCUUGCACUAAAUGAAACUAGAUACAAGCGAGCGGCGGACGGGUGAGUAACACGUGGGUAACCUGCCCAAGAGACUGGGAUAACACCUGGAAACAGAUGCUAAUACCGGAUAACAACACUAGACGCAUGUCUAGAGUUUGAAAGAUGGUUCUGCUAUCACUCUUGGAUGGACCUGCGGUGCAUUAGCUAGUUGGUAAGGUAACGGCUUACCAAGGCAAUGAUGCAUAGCCGAGUUGAGAGACUGAUCGGCCACAUUGGGACUGAGACACGGCCCAAACUCCUACGGGAGGCAGCAGUAGGGAAUCUUCCACAAUGGACGAAAGUCUGAUGGAGCAACGCCGCGUGAGUGAAGAAGGGUUUCGGCUCGUAAAGCUCUGUUGGUAGUGAAGAAAGAUAGAGGUAGUAACUGGCCUUUAUUUGACGGUAAUUACUUAGAAAGUCACGGCUAACUACGUGCCAGCAGCCGCGGUAAUACGUAGGUGGCAAGCGUUGUCCGGAUUUAUUGGGCGUAAAGCGAGUGCAGGCGGUUCAAUAAGUCUGAUGUGAAAGCCUUCGGCUCAACCGGAGAAUUGCAUCAGAAACUGUUGAACUUGAGUGCAGAAGAGGAGAGUGGAACUCCAUGUGUAGCGGUGGAAUGCGUAGAUAUAUGGAAGAACACCAGUGGCGAAGGCGGCUCUCUGGUCUGCAACUGACGCUGAGGCUCGAAAGCAUGGGUAGCGAACAGGAUUAGAUACCCUGGUAGUCCAUGCCGUAAACGAUGAGU